CCUACGGUGUGCAGCAGUGAGGAAUAUUGGUCAAUGGCCGGAAGGCUGAACCCGCCAUGCCGCGUGAAGGUCAGUGCCCUAUGGGCGUUAAACUUCUUUUGUGCGGGAGCAAUAAUGGUCACGUGUGGCCAGACGAGAGUACCGUACGAAUAAGCAUCGGCUAACUCCGUGCCCGCCGCCGCGGUAAGCCGGGGGAUGCAAGCGUUAUCCGGGUUUAUUGGGUUUAAAGGGUGCGUAGGCGGGCCGGAAAGUCAGCGGUAAAAGCCCGGGGCUCAACCCCGGCGAGCCGUUGGAACUGUCGGACUAGAGAGGGCGAGAGGUACGCGGAAUGCGCGGUGUAGCGGUGAAAUGCAUAGAUAUCGCGCAGAACUCCGAUUGCGAAGGCAGCGUACCGGCGCCGGACUGACGCUGAGGCACGAAAGCGUGGGUAUCGAACAGGAUUAGAUACCCUGGUAGUC
rnacentral:rRNA from 1 species